CUCCAUUCGGAUUGAAGCUGUCAGAGGAAGCGUCGCUGUCUGAGCAUUCUCUCUCUAUCCCCUUCUUCAGGACCAUGGAUGAGCCUCACACAUCAGAGACCUGGAUGUUGCUGCUAAACUCGAAAACAAACCGAAUUCACGACAAAAAACCGCUGAUGACGGAACAAAUAUUAUCCUACGGUGGUUCAGCACCAGCACUCACUGUGUUCUUCUGUUUCAGUGAGUGAAGAGGCAAGAGGCUGCACCAGUCAGGGAAAGCCGGGAGUGAUAGAGGGGCAGAGAAGGAGCACAGCCACGGAAUAAUGGGGCAAGGCCCGACGCUGCUGAGAGGGAGGUGAGUGUUCAGUGAAGCUCUCAGGUAACUACAGCGGAACUAAAGUGCUUCUUCAGUGACUUGUUGAAAUUGUGGAAAAGAUACAGAUGCAAAUAAUCAUUAAGUCAUUCAUCAACUGUUAUGAAGCGCUGGUUUAUUUAAUUUUGUUCUCAGUUGGUCCCUGCAUCUUUUUGUUAUGUGUGGCUGGCUGCUGUCUCUCCUUACUCUCUCUGAUUUCCCUCCUCCCUUUCUCUGUGUAAUUGCAGCACACCUGAGUGCUGUUAGCACUUAGGGAGGAGGAGGGUAUUUAGGGAGGCAGGAGAGAGCAGCAGUCAGAGCAGAGAUUGGAGAACCUCCCAGCCACACAUCCUCCUGGACAAACACGUGAGGGGUUUGGUUGCAUUUAUAACUUUUCCUUUUGUGAUUAACAUUGUGUUUUUUUUUCGUUUCAGGUACUUUGGCUAUUCCCUCCCCACGCAUGUUUAAAUUGCUGGGUUUUGUUGUUUUAGUUUGGCUGUAGUUGCUGGUAGUCCUAUUUUCGCU
ensembl:lncRNA